rnacentral:rRNA from 1 species
UACGUAGGUGGCGAGCGUUGUCCGGAUUUACUGGGCGUAAAGGGAGCGUAGGCGGACUUUUAAGUGAGAUGUGAAAUACUCGGGCUCAACUUGAGUGCUGCAUUUCAAACUGGAAGUCUAGAGUGCAGAAGAGGAGAAUGGAAUUCCUAGUGUAGCGGUGAAAUGCGUAGAGAUUAGGAAGAACACCAGUGGCGAAGGCGAUUCUCUGGACUGUAACUGACGCUGAGGCUCGAAAGCGUGGGGAGCAAACAGG